GAUAACGAACGAGACUCUCCCCUGCUAACUAGUCGGUUGGAUCUUGUGUCUGGAGAGUUGUGUGGCUUGUGCUCGUACGGUCGCCGCACGGCGCGCGUGUGUUCGCACACGUCGCGUUCGGGUAGCUUCCUACUUGUGCUCGUUCGCACACUCCAAGUCCGCCGCUUACUCGUGUGCGAGGUGUAACAGCCGAGUCGCGGAUAAAACUCUUCUUAGAGGGAUUCACGGUUCUGAAGCCGUAAGAAACUGAGAGCAAUAACAGGUCUGUGAUGCCCUUAGAUGUUCUGGGCCGCACGCGCGCUACAAUGCCGGGUUCAGCAGGUGUCUAUCCUUCUCCGACAGGAGUGGGUAACCCUGUGAAAGCCCUCUCUCUCUUAUUAUCAAAGGUCGUCACGUUCGUUCACUCGGGCGUGUCACCUCCAUGGCUUGCUUGGGCCUGGGGCUUGCAAUUCUUUCCCACCAACGAGGAAUGCCUAGUAGCGGCGGGUCACUGAGCCCGCCGUGACUCAGUCCCUGCCCUUUGUACACACCGCCCGUCGCUACUACCGAUUGGGUGUACCAGUGAGAUCCUUGGACUGGCGAACCUUGUGCACUAGCGAUAGAGCACAAGUGUGAACGACGGGAAGAGGCUCGAACUGGUGCACUUAGAGGAAGUAAAAGUCGUAACAAGGUUUCCCGUA
rnacentral:rRNA from 1 species